rnacentral:ncRNA from 1 species
CCAACGGCAGUGAAAAGAAGUAGUAACUCCUGUGCCUAUUGUUCAGAGAGCCAGCGAUUCGGUGCGAGCUGGUACAUUAGGGAGAGCGAACUCAUCUUGGAGCCAGAGGGUGACAGUCAUAGCAGAAACGUAAUCCGCAUGGCUUUAGCCUGAUCGUAGCCCCCGCGUUAAGGGGAAGAGUGAACACGGGUAAAGCAUACCCGCUGUUAACUAGGGUGGUACCACGGGAAGCAUGCCUCUCGUCCCUAGC